rnacentral:lncRNA from 1 species
AUGCGGAGUGAGCAGGGUCGUGAGCGCCACGUUCUCCCGUCUGCGGCCCGGCGCCCCUCCCCGCCCGGCCGGCCCUGUCUCGGUUGUGCCAUCCAAGCCCUCUCAGCUGGGCUCCUGGCUGUGCAGGAUCCGUUUCCUCCCAGCCUCUGCAUCCCAGCGGCCCUGGAAUCCUCUGGCCGCGGCUUCCUGCCUCUCUCCAAGCAUCCUCGUGUUUUAUUCAUCGCCGGCGGUUUCAGCGUUCGCCUGUUUGAACCGGGGCUGAGCCACGCUUUCCUCGGCCUUGCAGGUCAGAGCGGGCGAGCCACGUCCCCGGGGCUGGGACGUCGGUUUCAGUCUGUUCUGCCGAUCAGCUCCUGCUUGGGGGAACCGUGUGUUCUUAAACCUCCUGGCAAGCAGCCAGCAUUGCGAACGGCUUUUGCGUCUGCUGGCUCGGAAUCACACACCGAGCCCGCCCUGAUCCCUCCCACCCCCGCUGCUCCCUGUUGGCUCCACCGUGCCUAUCCCAGGCUGUCGGGCUGGGGCCUGUGCUCCAGACCACCCACAGGUGAGGAGACGUCACUGCUGAGCCUUGGCGGGGUUCCUGGGUUGGAUGGGGCCGUGCGUGCUCCCGCGGGCAGACCCCCAGGUCAGCGGGGCCUGAACAAGAAAGCUCAACUCCCAGAGGCCUCCGGGAAAGUCAGGGAUCUCAAGCAAGCAACCCACCUUGGUUAGGAAGGCUGGGCCGCACUGCUCUAUCCCGCUCCAGCCCGCUGGAGCCCUGAGCCCAUGGCUGGGGCAGGCGGGCUGCCUGGCUUGGUCGGCUGGGCUUGGCCCCCAGGAGGGCCAGGCCGAGCUCAGCGGGCUGCCAGGGUCUGGCCAUGACAGUGCGGGCGGCCAGGCAAAAUGCGGAUCCCAGGG